UUGUCAAAUUCUACUUUGUUUACUAAGCAGAAGUUCAUCUGCGAGUGAAAAUUUGUGAAAAAAGUGAUGUCUCACAUUAAUUAGAAUCCUGAAAUGGACCAGCGUGUGCAGAAAAAUCGAGUAUACAGAUAAAAGGCAUUAAAUUUUACAAAUGUACCGCAAGUACAAGCGUUAGGACAGCUUCCAGAUCAUUUGUUAUGAAAUCAAAUUGCAGAAUGAGUGCCCAGAAUGCAGAAAAAGUUUAUAAAAAGCAUAAUCUUUCAUUGUUUUGACAUUUUUGCUGUGUAGUGAUAUUAUUGACGUAAGAAGUUUACAAAAUGUAAAUAUGAUAUACAACAUCUUGUAAAUAUAAUCACUAAAAUAUAUAAA